rnacentral:rRNA from 1 species
GCGUGAGUGAAGAAGGCCCUAGGGUUGUAAAACUCUUUCAGUGGGGAAGAUAAUGACGGUACCCACAGAAGAAGCCCCGGCUAACUCCGUGCCAGCAGCCGCGGUAAUACGGAGGGGGCUAGCGUUGUUCGGAAUUACUGGGCGUAAAGCGCGCGUAGGCGGUCCGCGUAGUCAGGCGUGAAAGCCCCGGGCUCAACCUGGGAACUGCGUUUGAUACUGGCGGGCUAGAGUUCGGGAGAGGGUAGUGGAAUUCCCAGUGUAGAGGUGAAAUUCGU